ensembl:lncRNA
CCAGCACGGGAUCGGGUCAGUCGUUCCUGGCGCGUCAGAGGCAGGCCACCAGCACGCGGCGCUCGUAUCCAGGCCACGUGCAGCCCGCCACAGCCAGUGAUGUAAAGGCAUGAGCGGGCAGUCGAGGCGGCGCGGCUGCAUGAUGGCGCUGCUUGCAUGACCGAUUUUGCUCUUGAAUAACACCAACACACACUAACACCUCCGGCUCGGGGUCCGCGGUCCGCUUUCUUUCGCCUCCAGGCCGGUUUCAUCAGCAUGCUCCUGUUGCGUUUGCAACAGUCACAGACUGUCUGUGGGCGGGGCCUGAAGGUCACCGCAGAGCGACGAUGUAUGAAUACGACGCAGGCGGGAAAACUGUCUCUGGGUCCAAAAACUUUUUAUUAAGUCCUUUUUUUGUUUGUUUUGUUUUGUUUUGUUUUGUUUUGUUUUUUUGCAUAUUUAUUACAGUUUGUUUUUCUUUCUUUUUCUUUUUUUCUUUUUAUGUUUGAUCCUUCUUAAUUCUGAACAAAGUGUUAUAUUUUUUUUAAUAAUAUGACCCACAAAUUGUGAGCCUCUGCGCGGCGUCGGCGUUCGUAGCACUGGAGUUUGAAGUCGUAUCAUAACGCACGGCGUCACGGCUUUGCGGAAACGUCCUACGAGUUACACUACGUUUCUCUUCUGCCUGAUGGGAGACAGUAUUAGGAGGUCAAAGGUCAAAAGAAAGUCAUUUAAGGAGUUUCCAAGUGAAACAAAGCGUAUAGCUGAUCGAUGUGCAUAUUAGAGACCUAGCACCAGGAAGUGCAGUACUGAAACCACAGGAGACGAGUAUUUAUUCACAAAGGUCAUUUCAAGGUCUUUUUCCUUAACAUAUGUGACUCUAGAAUAUCAGUCCCCCCCCCCCCCCAAUCAGACCUGCUUAAGAAUUCUUUGUUAAAUAAAUAAGUCGAAUAGAUCAAGCAUCAAGCUUAGGCUCAAGAGAAAUGACUACAAGGUGUGUGUAAUACAUGGGGGGGGGGGAGUACAGUUACAGCCUAUGCUUUUUAUUUAUUUAUUUAAUUAAUUAAUUAAUCAUCUCCUGACCAAUCAGAUUCCAAGUUAUGUGGCCAAGCAAUAAUAAUAAUAAUAAUAAUAAUAAUUUUUUUUUUAAAAAAAACAAGAACAACAACAUGGAGGACAAAGUGUGUGUCGCCAAAUAAAUGACCACUAUUAGUGAGAGAAUAUAUGGAGAUUUAAUUAAUUAAUUAAUUAAUUAAUUAAUAAAUAAAUAAAUAAAUAAAAGCAUUUCCAACGUGGCAGUUUAACACAGAAUAUCAGCUCGUGUGCGUUUGGGACGUCCUACCUUUCCGCCUCCGGAACUACAGCGAAGGCAAACGAAGACCUCAUCGUCUCCAGAGUUAACCCUGAAUCCAUCUUUAUUUCAUCUGUUACUGCUCAUGACGCACCUCGAGCUGGAGCGUGAACGCAGCAUGGACAAAGCUAGCAGAGAAAACCGCUUCGCUAACUUAGCUAGAUGAGGAACCGUCGAGUCUUAACUCUGUGUCGUAUCGUAAAAUCGGUUUACGUCACGUAAAGGACAAAGACGGAGGACCGUCAGUAUGACGUCGCCAGCGCUCUAGGUCUCUAAUAUGUGCGUCUGUGCUACAGAAAGCUCAUUUGUGCAACCGACGGUGUUGCAGAUGAUCGAUAAGGGGCGUGUCCUGUGUUACAAAGCAUUUUUACCUCAGAUCGAACGACGACUCUGUGGACUAAUACGGUAAACGUCGUGCCGUUUAUUAGUCCUUAAACGUUCUCCGCUGCUUCUCUUUUUUUCUUUCUUUUCUUCUUCUCAGCUGUUACACGUCAUGAUGUCCAUGUUAUGCAAUACGUCACCAUUUUGUACCGUUACAUGAUUUCUUUUGUUUUUGGCGCUUUUUUAAAAAAUAUAUAUAUAUAAUAUCUGUAUUUAGUGUAAGAUUUGUAAGGGCGUUUGCGAGUUGAUGAAUGCACAAAGUGUGAAGUAACUAGACAACAGUGUUAGCGUAGCUUAUUUAAAAACGAAAUGGGGGGGGGGAAAAAAAAGAACUAUUCACAUUCACAACCGUCCAUUAGGAGAGGAUCUGCUCCUCAGUUUAACAAAGUUUUUGGUUCAAAUUUCUCGAGUAUUUUGGUUGGUGUGGAAUUUUUUUUUUUUUUUACAUUUUUUUUUUUUUUUAAUGCAUAGGAAGAUGUUACGUCUAGUCGAAGUAGCAAAUAAUCUUUCCAUUUGCCAAGUUUUAUAUCGCUUGUAUACAGUAUGUAAAUACGCUCUGUGUAAGACAGUGGAGGAAGUUCCUGCUCAUUAGUUUAUAUAUAUAUAUAAAUAUAUAUUUUAAAAGAAAAUUAAGGAGAGGCUUUUGAUUUUAGAUGAAUUAUACGGCGUGAUUCAGUUUGAAGUUCGAGGGGAAAAUUGUGCUUCCUACGCUGAAAAAAAAAUGUACAGUUGGUAAUCAAGUUGUAAAUAAAGCUUGUAUAAAACUCUGGCGUGUAUGUUUAUAUAUUUUUUUCCUCUAUAAUCUGUUGUGUUUACGAUUAUUAUUAUUGUAUUUUUAUUCGAUUUAUGUUUCUGCCAUAAACCAAUAGACAUUAGCAAAUACAUGUACUCAUACAUGCGUUCACACUGCGAAUAAAUAAAUAAACAAACGAAUAAAUAAAUAAUUUAGCAAUUGAAAGCAUUCAGUAUUUAAUAUAUAAU